rnacentral:rRNA from 1 species
GCAUAUCAAUAAGCGGAGGAAAAGAAACCAACAGGGAUUGCCCCAGUAACGGCGAGUGAAGCGGCAACAGCUCAAAUUUGAAAUCUGGCCCUCGGGUCCGAGUUGUAAUUUGUAGAGGAUGCUUUUGGCGAGGUGCCUUCCGAGUUCCCUGGAACGGGACGCCAUAGAGGGUGAGAGCCCCGUCUGGUCGGACACCGAGCCUCUGUAAAGCUCCUUCGACGAGUCGAGUAGUUUGGGAAUGCUGCUCAAAAUGGGAGGUAUAUGUCUUCUAAAGCUAAAUAUUGGCCAGAGACCGAUAGCGCACAAGUAGAGUGAUCGAAAGAUGAAAAGCACUUUGAAAAGAGGGUUAAAAAGUACGUGAAAUUGUUGAAAGGGAAGCGCCUAUGACCAGACUUGGGCCCGGUGAAUCAUCCAGCGUUCUCGCUGGUGCACUUUGCCGGGCACAGGCCAGCAUCAGUUUGGCGCGGGGGACAAAGGCUUUGGGAAUGUGGCUCCCCCGGGAGUGUUAUAGCCCGCUGCGUAAUACCCUGCGCUGGACUGAGGUACGCGCAUCGCAAGGAUGCUGGCGUAAUGGUCAUCAGCGACCCGUCUUGAAACACGGACCAAGGAGUCGUCUUCGUAUGCGAGUGUUCGGGUGUUAAACCCCUACGCGUAAUGAAAGUGAACGUAGGUGAGAGCUUCGGCGCAUCAUCGACCGAUCCUGAUGUUCUCGGAUGGAUUUGAGUAAGAGCAUACGGGGCCGGACCCGAAAGAAGGUGAACUAUGCCUGUAUAGGGUGAAGCCAGAGGAAACUCUGGUGGAGGCUCGCAGCGGUUCUGACGUGCGAAUCGAUCGUCAAAUAUGGGCAUGGGGGCGAAAGACUAAUCGAACCUUCUAGUAGCUGGUUUCCGCCGA